AAUCAACGCUGGCGGCGUGCCUCAGACAUGCAAGUCGAACGAUUAAGACUCUCUUCGGAGAGUGUAUAAAGUGGCGCACGGGUGAGUAACACGUAGGUAAUGUACCGAAGGGUGGGGAAUAACUUAGGGAAACUUAAGCUAAUACCGCAUAAUGCAGCGGCUCGACAUCGAGACAGUUGUUAAAGGAGCAAUCCGCCUUUUGAGCAGCCUGCGGCAGAUUAGCUAGUUGGUAAGGUAAUGGCUUACCAAGGCUACGAUCUGUAACCGACCUGAGAGGGUGGUCGGGUCACACUGACACUGAAUAACGGGUCAGACUCCUACGGGAGGCAGCAGUCGGGAAUUUUGGGCAAUGGGCGAAAGCCUGACCCAGCAACGCCGCGUGAAGGAUGAAGUAUUUCGGUAUGUAAAGCUCUGUGGAGAGGGACGAAUAAGUGUCGUCGAAUAGACGGCAUGAUGACGGUACCUUUUUAGCAAGCACCGGCUAACUCUGUGCCAGCAGCCGCGGUAA
rnacentral:rRNA from 1 species